rnacentral:rRNA from 1 species
AGAGUUUGAUCCUGGCUCAGAGUGGACGCUGGCGGCGUGCUUAACACAUGCAAGUCGAACGAGAACGGCUCUAGCUUGCUAGAGUGUCAGCUAAGUGGCGGACGGGUGAGUAAUGUAUAGUUAAUUUGCCCCUUGGAGAGGGAUAGCCACUGGAAACGGUGAUUAAUACCUCAUACUCCUUCUAUGUUAAUCAUAGUUGGGAAAUGUUUUUUCGCCAAGGAAUGAGACUAUAUGGUAUCAGGUAGUUGGUGGGGUAAGAGCCUACCAAGCCAAUGACGCCUAGCUGGUCUGAGAGGAUGAUCAGCCACACUGGAACUGAGACACGGUCCAGACUCCUACGGGAGGCAGCAGUGGGGAAUAUUGCACAAUGGAGGAAACUCUGAUGCAGCAACGCCGCGUGGAGGAUGACGCAUUNCGGUGUGUAAACUCCUUUUAUAUGGGAAGAUAGGACGGUACCAUA